UGCACAGAUCACUUCCAGCCUCGGCGCCAGAGGGAUUGUGCAGGAAUGCAAAGCUGGGCAUAAACGCAUCUUUCUCACAAGCCUGCUUUAAAGAACAAGUCACGUCAGAUCCAGAGGCGGGGGGGCUUUGAAAGGUUGGUGAGGAGAUGGUAGGAGUCCCAGGGAAACAGCAUCCUGAUUUCCUCCUGACUGCAGAAAGUGCUUCCUUGGGGAGCAGCUUCAGCUGGGUAGCAAAGCAAAUGGAGCUUUUCCUGGUAAAGAGGCAGAAGGGCGCCCAGGCUUCUCUUCCCCAGGGCAAACUGGCUUGCAGGGCUUUGCAAGCUGACUAGAGGGAGGUGACUGUGGGACCAGCCAGUUUGCUCUUCUACUACCCAGCACGGGAAGCAGCAGGCUGCCCUCGCCAGAAGCUAAACCACUGUUCUCCUGGACUUGGCAACCUCCAGGACUGUGAGCCAGAAUAGACACCUUUUCUAUACAAACUGCCUGGUCCUGGGUGUUCUGAUCAGGACAGUAAGCUUAUCUAAAGGGUAGACAUAGAAUAUUUGGAGACUAUGUGUUGAUGGCCUUGAGUUUGAAGCCUGAAAUUUAAGGGGAUUUGUUCCAGUCAGGAGUGUAUGGAUUGUCACACCCUGGGGGCCGAGCAGCUGACCUCAAUCACAUGCCAAUACAUCCAGCGCUGAACAAUCACCGAUGAAGCAAACAAAUGCGUUAUGGUUAAAAAUAAUAAACAAAUGAAGCCUCUGUGUUUUCCUGCCUGGGAACAAGGGCCUGUUCUUCUGGUCUUCAUAAUGAAAUAGUGAGACUCUGUGGGGGGAAAAAUACAGCAGUUGGUACAUGAUCUGAGCGAAGCAUCGCAGCGUGGUAGGGAAUUGGAGAGCCCGACUUCACCUGGGAUGGCCUAAGAAAGAAGGACUGAGGACAGGCAGGUGGGCUGGGCCUCCUGACACAGAAUGUGACCAGAGACAUGAAAUGUAUUUCAUGGGAGAGGGGUUUAUUUAAAGUGUCUCCACAUAUCUGGGCAAGCAAAGGUCUGCUUGGUCUCCUAAAGGUUACAUUCCUAUUCCAGGAAAGGUUACAGUUGUGACCAAAAGCUAACAAAACUCCCCUUUGGAAAUAGAAUGCCUGGCUUCGUUUUAUUUGGCAUAGUCACAAAGCACAACGCCCAAUUUUAGUUUUUUGGGUUAGAUGUGCACGUAGCUGUUUUUAGUGCCUCUUGCUUCCUGGGUGGAGGUGGGGCUGGGGGUUGUGUUGCAGCUUGCUUAUUUUACUACCCAAAUGGUAGGGUAGCUUCGGCACCCUGCACAAAUCAGUCCCGAAGCACCUUUUUAGUACAUGGUCAAUGAUGCACAGUUCCCUGAGGAAGCUUUCCUGAGUAUAUUGCCAGGGUGCCACGGGGCACAAGUGAACACUGUAGUGAGAAACGGAAGAAUUGGUAGUAGUAUUUGUGUUUGAUGGGCAGGGAGCUGAGGAUGGUAGGUCAGCCUGCCAGGGUGCAUUCCAACAAACACCCUUUGGAGAGAGGUGGUCUGUUUUCUGUGCCUCUUUCUACUAGAUACCAUGAGGAACAAGAAGGAGCUCGCUGGAUUGUUCACAUACUCAAUUGCUCAGUUGGCCGACAAUCUUCAAACCCUAUUGGUCAUCUAUAAUAUCUUAGACACUAACAGAUACAAUUAAAUGUAUGAAGAAGAGAAAAUCAAGUAUUGUACUGGUCGUCACCCUGACAAACCAAGACAGAUCUCGGGAGAGGGAAUCUCAGUUGAGGAAUUGCCUCCGUCAGGCCGGCAUGUGGCCGCAUCUGCAAGGCAUUUUCUUGAUGACUAAUGGAUGGAAGAGGGCCAAGCCCACUGCCCUCUCUAGGCAGAUGGGCUCAGCCUGUAAAAGAAAGGUGGUCGUGUAAGCCACGGAAAGUGAGCCCGUAAGUGGCACCCCUCCACAGCCUCUGCCUCAGUUCCUGCCUUGAGUUCUUGUUCCUUCCUUGAUGAUGGACUGUACGCCAGAAGAUGAAAUGAGCCCUUUUCUCUCCAAGUUGCCUUUGGUAUUAGUAUUUAUCACAGCAACAGAAAGCAAACAAGGCAGGUGUGAAAAUAUUUUACAAUUCAACCAAUAGCAGGAGGUAGAAUGUGGGUAAACUGCUCUUGUUACAAAGAAAAAUAAAUUCAAGUCAUGGGGUUAAAAAAAAAAAAAGUCCCUUCCCAGGUUACAAACAGCUACCCUCUAACCUCGUGCCAGCGUUUUACAGUUUCGAGAGCCAAAAUGAGGAGAGACACAUCCAGCUUUGGCAGAGGCUCGGUUUGAACAAGAUGGAGGUGCUGGAAUUUGAACCUGUGAACACCGAGGGCUGAGGCUGUUUUCUUCAAACCUCUUAAAGAUGCUCUCUUUCAGUUUUCAACUCAACAUCUUCAGACACAACAGUUUAAUUACUCUUACAGCACCUGUGCUUUGAGGCUUAGGGAGCAAAAACGAAGCAAAAAUCAUGGCCAUUAAUUCAUGUGAAAUCAAACUUAUCAAGGUUUAAGUGUUGUGCUCAGAACGCUUUUGUCAUUGUUGAGACAGGGUCUCUCUACGCAGCCCUGGCUGUUCUUGGACUCAAUGUGUUGACGAGGUUGACUUUGAACUCACAGAGAUCCACCUGCCUCUGCCUUCCAAGGGCUGGGAUUAAAAGCAUGGGCCGCCACAAACGAGGGACAGCUUGGAACAUUUUUCUAAAGCACUGCUUGGAGAAUGAGCCCUUCAUGACUUAAAAGAUAAUUGAUUCAGCCGAUGCUUUUUAUUUCAAUUCUUUAUUCUAAUAAAUGUCCUAAUACAGCACAGAAAGGUGGCCCGCCUUGGUACAAAAUAGAAGUGAUUUUUUUUUCCUUUAGUGAUUCAACAUCUUGUGGUGUCUCACAUUUCUCCUUCUGGACGCCAGUUGCCCUUAGACGGGACUAUAGAUAAGAAAGACGUGGGUGUUCGAGAUGAAUGUGUACUGACAUCAAAGAUUCCUUGACAACAGGCCCAAAUUCUCCUCUGAUGUAAAUGUGUGUGUGUGUGUGUGUGUGUGUGUAUCUGUGGAUGUUGUUCUCUCUUCUAAAAAGAGAAUUUUAAAAAUACCAAGUUAUUACAGAUCCCACUUAGUCUGGUAUUUGCAUUUCUCACUCUGCUUAUAAUUUGCAGCGUUCAUAUUGUUCUCAUAAUUCUCAUGGCCUGGUUAUCUGGGUCUAAGGAGGAACAGUCCUGUCUUAGAAAGUCUUGCACAUUCUUAGAGCCAAAGAAUUAGGGAAUUUGCCAAGCUGUGAACUUGACGCGGUCUUCACUUCCCGGCUGCUUGAAGCAAAAAAUCUGCUUCUUAAGAAUACACAGAAUUAGCUGAAAUCUUAACUCAAUUAAAUAAAAUAUAUAAAUCACUCACAUACAUUUUCAAUAUAUUCUUGAAUUUCUAAAGAGCUCUAAUAAAUGAUUCCCACCUGGAAUUAAAAGCCUUGAGAAAUGAAUUUUGUUUCACUGGGUCCGAACACUUCUCGGAAUCUCCGACACCCCUGUCAUGAGGCAGAAGUAAAGGGAAACACUGGAAGUUGGAGGGCAAAUACAGAAAAUGGUCUUCGGACUGAAUGAGUCUGUCCAUGCUUUUCUGUUUCCAUCUGGAUCCUUUUCAGUGUGAUUGCUUAUUUUUAGGUUGGCAUUUUCGCCGGAGGAUGAAAUGGCUUCAGGAAAUGAUGUGAAAGGUUAAGAGGAUGGAUGAGAAGUGUAAUUUGAGAGCUGCUGUGAAGGGGACAUAGCUCAGUUUUCUGUUCAAUAUGUCUCUUAGGGGGAAGGAAAAAAACACUAUCUACCUGUAUUUCUGCUCAGUCAAUAGCUUUGAAUCCUGUAAACUCAAGCAGCCAAGCCGUAGUGUAAAGGGUUGUAAGGAGAAAAAUGUAGAACUUAUAGACACAAAUGUAGGGAAAGAGAUGUCACUGAGUAAUGAAGUAGGAUCACCCCGAAUCAGGUUUAUACUAUUUCAAAGCCGUGAAGCCACAUGGGAGAGAGGUAUGUAUGAGUGAGAACAAAGAAUAAUUUGCCAUGCUUGUUCUUGGUGAGGUUGGACAAACUAUCAACACUAAUUCACAAAUUUUUCAAAGUAUCGUUCUAAGAAGGUUCUAAGAAUUUUUGUAAAUAGUCACUAUUUUUCUCACAUUUUGAGAAGGCCAAAGUGUUUUAGAAAGUUUCAUAUUGUCUUAACUCCUAAUGAAAUAGUUAGUUUUUACAAAUUAGUUUUUUCUCCCAGAAUUCUUUUGUGAUGAUUAAGGAAAUUUCUAAGACUGGUUACCAUCUCUCAAAACCUUCUCCAGUCACUUUUUGAAAUUUUAUGUAUUUAUUUUAUGUGUAUGGAUUCAGUUCCCAGCACCCACCUGGUAGUUCACAAAUGCAAACAUACAUACACCCGGGCAUGCACACAUAAGAAAUUACUUUUUAAAAAUUCUUAAAAGGCAAUAAAUAAAACAAAAGAGUUGUAUGAAGUGGUAAAAUAUGUAUGUUAAAGUUAUUUUCUUUGUCCAGUGUCAACCUGUCUGGUAUAGUCACUAAAUAAAAGAGAGUGACAAAAUUAUUAGAAGACAAUUCAAUUGCUGCCUGAAACUCAGUUAAUGAAGUGUCAGGGGAGGGGCCAUACAUUUCUUCAGGGUUGUGGUUCCUGGUAGAUUGUCCAUGCUUCAGUGGAUGGCCAUACCCCCGUGUACAUACGGUCAGCAGUAACUGGACUCAGGGCUUACCAAAAAAUUAAGGAAUGAAGUUGGGAGAAGAAUGGAGGGGUUCUUGGAAGAGUUGGAAGUUGGGGUUGGGGAUAGAUAUGAUCAAGUAACAGUCAAUACUUGUAUGAUAUCCUCACAAAAUAUUUUAAAAGAAAGUAAACUUAUGCCCCAAAGCACUAAAAACAGAUGAUGCCAUGUAAAUCAUCAUUGUGGCCGAAUUUCAUAAGGGCCAAGCAAAUAAACUCUUGCCAAUCGCAGGAAUUCCUUUCAUGUGUGAUGCAGACAUCAUUCAUGGUGACAUCAUUUACUUUCCAAAGAUGGUUACAUCAAAGCCAAAUGUCAAAAAGAUUUUAUGAUUUGCAAUGUGUAACUACAUUAUUUAUAGUGUCAAAACAAAAUUUGUGCCAGAACCAGAUGAUAACAACUAAUGUACAUAUUUUGCAUUUUUAGUGGAUUCUGCUCACUUAUGGGACUUGAACAUGCAUCUUCAAGGUAGAAACUGACUUAUCAAUAUAAUAUUAGUAUAAUCGUAUCAAUACAAUGUUAAAAUAUAAAUCAUAGCAAGCAUUUCAAAUGAAACUGAAAUUUGGCAAUCCCAAAUGAAGGCAAAAAAGUUUAUGCAUCUCAACAUGUUGGCUAGACACAGUCCUGUGAACAUUGAAAAAUACAUAACCUUACUUUCUGAUUUGAUUCAAGAACUUGAAAACAGAUUUUAAGAUUUCUGGGAAAUGUGGAGCUGAAGAGAUGGCUCAGCAGUUAAGAGCACUUGUUGCUCUUGCAGAGGACCUGGAUUCAGUUCCCAGUACCCACCUGGUGGCUCAGAACCAUCUGUAACUCUAGUUCUAGGGAGCCUGACACCCUCUUCUGACCUCUGAGGUCACCAGGCAUACAUGUGGUACACAGACAUAUAUGCAGGCAAAAUACCUGAAUAUAUAGAAUAAACUAAAUCUAAAAAAUACCUGAAUAUAUAGAAUAAACUAAAUCUAAAAAAAGAUUUCUGGGAAAUAAUUGCUAUUUCCAUAUGUUUAUAACUUCUUUUUCAAUUGAUGUGAAUACUCUACUGUAGUUGUUUUUUGUUGUUGUUGGUUUGUUUUGUUUUGUUUUGUUUUUUGUUUUUAACUCUUUGGGGGCCCCCGACACUCAGCUCCCAAAUAAAUACACAGAGACUUAUUCUUAAUUAUGAAUGCUCAGCCUUAGCUUGGCUUGUUUCUAGCCAGCUUUUCUAACUUAUAUUACCCCAUUUGUCUUUAACUAUGUUUUGCCUCUGGGCUUUUUACCUUUCUUUAGUCUAUAUGUCUUUCUUUCCUUCUUACUCCGUGACUGGCUCUGUGGAUGGGUGGCUGGUCCCUGGCAUUCUCCUCUACUUCUCUCACUCCUGGCUCUCUCUUGAGCCUAGAUUUCUCCUAUUUAUUUUUUCUGCCUGGCAGCCCCACUUAUUUCUCAAUAGCCUAGCUAUUGGCUAUUCAGCUCUUUAUUAGACCAAAUCAGGUGUUUUAGACAGGCAAUGUAGCACAGCUUCAUAGAGUUAAACAAAUACAACAUAAAAGUAUGCAACACUGGAGAGAUGGUUCAGUGGUUAAGAGCACCGCCUGCUCUUCCAGAGGACCUGGGCUCAAUUCCCAGCACCCACAUGGUAGCUCAAAACUGUCUCUAGUUCCAGUUCCAGAGGACCCAACACCCUUACACAGACAUGUAGGCAGGCAAA